ensembl:lncRNA
UGGUUUUGUAAAUAGGUUGUCUGGGCUCUUCUGUAGCAGGAAUCUGCAUUUCCAGGAUUUCUGCUAAAAGUUUUCAUACUUUUAUGGGUGCCUUUUAAGGGGCCAUUCUGGAAUGCACAUUUUCCUCAAUUAACUGCAUCCCAAGGGUUUUAAUAAAAUCAGAAUGUUUUAUUAUCUCACCUCAUUGUACAAACUGGUAAGAUAUUCAGUAGUUAACACUCAUAACAUUUUAAAUGGCAUAAAAAAUUGUCAUUGGCCAAUGGUUGGUUCUCUUGGACACUGAAUAUCAUGAACAUUUUCCAUCUAAAGCAUCAACUCCAGAUUUUGGGUCAUUAUAAAAUUUCGACAUUAUCAAAUCUAAGGCAACCUACUAAAAAUAAAAAUGGGGCCGGACUCAGAGCAGCAC